GAUGAACGCUGGCGGCGUGCCUAACACAUGCAAGUCGAGCGCGAUUAAGUGGAGUGGAGACUUCGGUCAAAGCGAAGCUUAUGAAAGCGGCGGACGGGUGAGUAACGCGUGGGCAACCUGCCCCAUACAGAGGGAUAGCCACUGGAAACGGUGAUUAAUACCUCAUGAGUCAGUAACAUCGCAUGAUGUAGCUGACAAAGAUUUAUCGGUAUGGGAUGGGCCCGCGUCUGAUUAGCUAGUUGGUGAGGUAACGGCUCACCAAGGCGACGAUCAGUAGCCGACCUGAGAGGGUGAUCGGCCACACUGGAACUGAGACACGGUCCAGACUCCGUACGGGAGCAGCAGUGGGGAAUAUUGCACAAGUGGGCGCAACGCCUGAUGCAGCAACGCCGCGUGAGUGAU
rnacentral:rRNA from 1 species